rnacentral:rRNA from 1 species
CGAACGCUGGCGGCGUGCUUAACACAUGCAAGUCAAGGAGAAAGAUAGACUUCGGUUUAUUGAUUAAACUGGCGGACGGGUGAGUAACGCGUAGGCAACCUGCCCUUGUGACCGGCAUAACAUCGAGAAAUUGGUGCUAAUACCGGAUAACAUUUUGAAUACACCUGUAUUUAAGAUCAAAGGUGCUUUUGUAUUGCACAGGGAUGGGCCUGCGUUCCAUUAGCUAGUUGGUGAGGUGAAGGCUUACCAAGGCGACGAUGGAUAGCUGAUCUGAGAGGGUGAUCAGCCACACUGGGACUGAGAUACGGCCCAGACUCCUACGGGAGGCAGCAGUGAGGAAUAUUGCGCAAUGGAGGCAACUCUGACGCAGCAACGCCGCGUGGGGGAUGAAGCACUAUGGUGUGUAAACCCCUGUAGGUAGGGACGAACGACAUAUAUUCGUAAGGGUAUGUGUGUGACGGUACCUUCAAAGUAAGCACCGGCUAACUCC